rnacentral:misc_RNA from 1 species
AAGUCGUAACAAGGUUUCCGUAGGUGAACCUGCGGAAGGAUCAUUUCCAAAAAAGCAUUGCCUAUUAUAUACACCUUAUGGUGUGUGAACAGUUGGAUAGAAAAAUCAUUUUACUCUCGAAGCGGAUUAGCAUCUCGAAUGCUACUGUGGAGAGAGGCCUUGAUGAACCCACAUCCUUUUUGUUUAUAUUGCGAGUGCAAACUCCAAUAUCUACAAAGGGACGUUAACAUAAAGUCAUUCUAUAUUUCUAAGUCAAAAAGACUUAUUGCUACAUCUCGUAUGUACAAUAUGUCAAUUUACUCUAGUAAAUAUACGACAACUUUUAACGGUGGAUCUCUUGGCUCGU